GACGAACGCUGGCGGCGUGCUUAACACAUGCAAGUCGAACGAGGUUAUGGAGGAGCUUGCUCCGAAGUAACCGAGUGGCGGACGGGUGAGUAACGCGUGAGGAACCUGUCUCACACAGGGGGAUAACGCACCGAAAGGUGUGCUAAUACCGCAUAAGACCACGGUACCGCAUGGUACAGGGGUCAAAGGAGCAAUCCGGUGUGAGGUGGCCUCGCGUCUGAUUAGGUAGUUGGUGAGGUAACGGCCCACCAAGCCGACGAUCAGUAGCCGACCUGAGAGGGUGAUCGGCCACAUUGGAACUGAGACACGGUCCAAACUCCUACGGGAGGCAGCAGUGGGGAAUAUUGGGCAAUGGGCGCAAGCCUGACCCAGCAACGCCGCGUGAGGGAAGAAGGUUUUCGGAUUGUAAACCUCUGUCCUAAGUGAAGAGCAGAAGACGGUAGCUUAGGAGGAAGCCCCGGCUAACUACGUG
rnacentral:rRNA from 1 species